UAUGCCCCAUCUGGGAGCACGCAGCCAGCCCCUGGGGCUGGAGCCCACCUGGAAUGCUCUCUUUUUCCACGGGGGGUAGGGAACGAAGCCGACUGCCCGCCCUGGGAAAUGCGAUGUAAGAACCGGGAAGCAAACAAUAACGGUCCUCAGCUGGCGUCACAGACUGCUCCACCCGCCAGGACACAGGCAAGGAGCUGGAAAGCCAAGAACUCUAAGGAGGGGCGAAGCUGCGAGACCCGGGGCCGGGGAAAGAUCGGCUCUGGCCCGAGAAGAACUGUGCCUGCAGGAAGGGCUAAGAUCCCGGGUCCAGUUCUGAGGUCCACUACUCAAGACGGGUGUAGAUACCCUUGGAGACAAUCCAGAUGAGAGCCUUGAAAAUGAGUAAAGGGUUAAAACCUGCCUCGUAGUGAUACACACAAAGAGCUCCCUCUGCUUCGUGUAACAAAGAGAAGUUAAGACCCGUAAAUCAAACGCUGAGGUCAGCUCUGGCCAGCGCCUUUACUCUUGGCAGUCGGGAGGAGUAAGAGAAACUGAUGGGAGCGUGAAGACGGUGCAAGGUUGGUUUAAGGUAAGCCGACGCCAGCUAUGAAUUCUAUGUAGUGGAGCUGCGAACCUUAACCCGACCUUCCAGGUGUAGUGUAGCCCUGGCCCCAGAGUUCAGUCUCCACAGAUUCUCAGCACGGACUAUCCAGGUCUGCCUCCCCACCUUCAAGUCCCAAAAGGAACCAAAGAAACGAAUUCAAUGACUUAUGAUGCAGAAAUGAAUAAUCUAGUUUUACAACAUAACCGAGCUAUUUGAUAACCCCCCGACACUGUCUCCACAGUUCUAAAGAGAAACCAACAGCAAAACAGGAAGAGUUUGGUCCACACUGAACACAGUAAGAAGAAACUGAGAGACCCCAAAAGCUUAGGGUUAGUUCACCCAAGUCUCUGGGAGCGUCUCUGAUCACCAGAACUGCACCAUUUGCUGAGUCUGAAUCAUCUUCCUACCACUUGCUUGUAGGGAUCCUCAGUUGGAAUCCAGGCUGACUCUUCCGCUUCUGCGGAUCCUGUGAGCCAGCUACUCACUGGUUAACCAGUCACUCGGUUAAGGCACAAGGGCAUACUUUAAAGCAGUGAUUCCCAAUCUUUUUCCCAUGGAGGAACCCCUAAAAUAAUUUUUCAUAUCCCGAGGAACCCCUACCUAUGAAAACGUUUGCUUGGCCAAAAAAAGU